CUUACAGCCCUGAAGACUGAAGUCCUCUGAUUAUCCAUAGCAAAGAUACAGCAUAAGCAGCAUCAGUGCAAGUUUACCCACACCAUUACACUUACGUGCCUUAAGACUAAUUGAGAGGAACCACUUUUAGAAAUGUAGUUUGUUGUCCAUAAAGAAAGCUGCU
rnacentral:sRNA from 1 species